rnacentral:tRNA from 1 species
GCUGAAAUAGCUCAGCUGGAGGAGCGUUAGACUGAAUAUCCAAAGGUCCCUGGUUCAAUCCUGGGUUUCGGCA